CCUACGGGAGGCAGCAGUGGGGGAUAUUGCACAAUGGGGGGAACCCUGAUGCAGCGACGCCGCGUGGGUGAUGAAGCGCCUCGGCGUGUAAAGCCCUGUCAGUAGGGAAGAAAAUGACGGUAUCUGAAGAAUAAGCCCCGGCUAAAUACGUGCCAGCAGCCGCGGUAAUACGUAGGGGGCAAGCGUUAUCCGGAUUUACUGGGUGUAAAGGGGGCGCAGACGGCGAUGCAAGUCAGAAGUGAAAGCCUGGGGCCCAACCCCAGGACUGCUGUUGAAACUGCGUGGCUGGAGUACAGGAGGGGCAGGCGGAAUUCCUGGUGUAGCGGUGAAAUGCAUAGAUAUCACGCAGAACCCCGAUUGCGAAGGCAGCAUGCCGGCUUCCGACUGACGCUGAAGCACGAAAGCGUGGGGAUCGAACAGGAUUAGAUACCCUUGUAGUC
rnacentral:rRNA from 1 species